GCGCAUGUGGUGGAAUUGGAAUACACGCUGGCCUCAGAAGUCAGUGCCGAAAGGAUUGAGAGUUCAAGUCCCUCCGUGCGCACCA
rnacentral:tRNA from 1 species